UACGGAGGGUGCGAGCGUUGUCCGGAAUCACUGGGCGUAAAGGGCGCGUAGGCGGCGCGGGAAGUCAACGGUGAAAGUUCAGGGCUCAACCCUGAAUCGGCCGUCGAUACUCCCGGGCUUGAGCACUGUAGAGGCAGAUGGAAUUCCGGGUGUAGCGGUGGAAUGCGUAGAUAUUGGAAAGACCACCAAUGGCGAAGGCACUCUACUGGGCCACAACUGACACUGAGAGACGAAAGCUAGGGGAGCAAAUGGG
rnacentral:rRNA from 1 species